GGACAAUGACAUCAUCCUGUCAGCGCGCGCACACCUGUUUCCUCGACGCGCGCCUCCCCACCCCCCCAUGCCCGCUGCAUGCACUUCCUGCUUUUCUUAAAGGGGCCGCCGCCCGCGCGCGCGCGCACAGAACUAAAGACUGAAUCGGACCAGAACCAGGUGGAGGGGAAGAGACCCCCCCCCACCCCCACAUGAAGAGCCUGGAGCAACCAGACGGCUCCAUCGCCGUGGUGAUGGCUGAUGGAGAGCGUACGGUCUGCAGGUGUGACAGGUGUGAAUGGAGGAACAGAGUGAAGAAGCAGGAAUCAGCCACAGAAGAUCCUCUGAAGGGUUCCUCCAGCCGCCACCAGAACCUCCAAACCGGGUCACGCACGCUCGGUUCUGAGGUCUGACUCUGGAAAAACAAGUCUUUGUCACACGCAUGCACGCGCAUGCACAUGCAUGCACACACGUGCACAUGCAUGCACACACAUGCACACACAUGCACAUUCACAUGCAUGCACACACAUGCACGUCCUCUCACAGCCUCCAGCGUGUGAAAGAAUUCCUGGGAAUGGAGCGUCUGAAUCACCGUCAUUCAUUUGCUAAUUUGGGACAACAAUGCAACAAUGGCCUCAUUACUGAUGCAGGAGGAGGGUUCUCACCCCCCUCCCUCUGCGCCUGUGAAGUAACCCCUCCCCCUUCCCCACAAAAAUAAACAUGUAUUUUGAAAAUGGGGUUGGAGUGACUCGACUGCAGCCGGAUGUGUGAUGAAGAACCGCAGCUGCAGCUCUUUAGAUUCUGUUUGAGUUCAUGAAGAUGAAAACAACACUGAGUCUAAAGUUAAGGUCAUAUCGUGAACAGAGGUCAUCACACUGGACAACCAGGGUGGGGCUUCCCCUUAUUGUAAGUUUUCUGCCAUUUCCCAGCGUGUGUCUGCCACCUACAGUUGGAAGAGUGUAAUGUCAAAUCAGUGAAGACCUGGUGAAUCUUAUUCCAGGGUUUUACUUUCACUGAUCUUCAGGUAAAUUAAAGGCUAAAAUUGUGAUUCUUCCCUCUGGCUCCUCCCCUAUCCCGACAUUUAGUCCUCCAAACGGAAUCAUGGAAAAAUGGUUUGUGUCCGAAUUCCCACCCUAAUCCAUAGCUACUAAAAAUGAUCUGGAUUUUAAAA